rnacentral:rRNA from 1 species
GGAACGCUGGCGGUGCGCUUAUGCAUGCAGUCAAGCGAAGCUUUCAGUAGUUACUACAGAAAAUGACUGAGCGGCGAACGGGUGAGUAACGCGUGAGCAAUCUACCUUAGUUACAGGGAUAGCCCGAGGAAACUCGGAUUAAUACCUGAUAUUCUUUAUUUCUCGCAUGAGAAUAAAAGGAAAGGUCAGCCGAACUAAGAUGAGCUCGCGUUCUAUCAGCUAGUUGGUGAGGUAAAAGCUCACCAAGGCUACGACGGAUAGCUGGUCUGAGAGGACGAUCAGCCACACUGGGACUGAGACACGGCCCAGACUCCUACGGGAGGCUGCAGCAGGGAAUAUUGCGCAAUGAGCGAAAGCUUGACGCAGCGACACCGCGUGUGGGAUGACGGAUCUAGGUUUGUAAACCACUUUCAGGAGGGAAGAAAAUGACGGUACCUCCACAAGAAGCCCCGGCCAACUACGUGCCAGCAGCCGCGGUAAUACGUAGGGGGCGAGCGUUGUCCGGAUUUAUUGGGCGUAAAGAGCUCGUAGGCGGUUCAACAAGUCGGUCGUGAAAGUUCAGGGCUCAACCCUGAAAUGUCGAUCGAUACUGUUGUGACUAGGAUACGGUAGAGGUGAGUGGAAUUCCGAGUGUAGCGGUGAAAUGCGUAGAUAUUCGGAGGAACCCAAUAGCGA